UAUGCACCUUCGUGAGCGUCUCCC
rnacentral:siRNA from 1 species